CAGCAUGGAGGCAGCCACAGCUCCGGAGGUGGCCGCAGGAUCCAAGGUGAAAGAAGCCAGCCCAGCGGAUGCUGAACCACCCCAGGCUUCACCUGGACAGGGGGCUGGCAGCCCCACUCCCCAGCUCCUGCCCCCUAUAGAAGCCCAAGAUCAUCUGGCUGAAGAACAAGAUGGAUAUCCAAGGCAACCCUAAGUACAGAGCCCUGACUCACCUGGGAAUCUGCUCCCUAGAGAUCCGCAAGCCGGGUCCCUUUGAUGGAGGCAUCUAUACCUGCAAGGCGGUGAACCCCCUAGGGGAGGCAUCUGUGGACUGUCGGGUGGAUGUGAAAGUUCCUAAUUGAGGACACCUAAGAAGGCGUGGUACUCUGACAAAGGUGUGUGGUCCCAAGCAGCACAUUAUUGGCAAAAGGCAACUCAGCUCAUCAUUUAGAACUUGACAGCUCUUUCAGAUUUUCCGUCAUUCACAUUAGCUAUGUUGUGUACAAAGUGAUGCAUAAGGUGAAAAAGAAGCUUGAGACAGAACUAAAGAGAACAAGUUCCCAGUGUCCUCUCUGACUUGUAGCUGCUGGCUGAUGGAAAUUGGAAAUGAAUUUGAUCCCAUAAGACAUUUAUUUAAGGCUCUCACUGGUAUGUAGCAAAUGAAAGCCUAAAGGGAUGCGUUACAAGUACAGACUUCUCAGGAAAGCGCUCUCCGACAGUCAGCUUGCAGAGACAGCUCUCCCUCCCUCACCUCCCUCUCUGUGUUAAUGAUACUUGUGUUCGUGUUAGUUGCUCCUUUCCCUCUCUCACAGCCAGUGCCCAGCAAUGAAGUGAAUUCAUGGCAAAGGAGCCAGGGACCAUGACAACGGUGUCCUCAGCAGCCUGG
rnacentral:sRNA from 1 species